rnacentral:pre_miRNA from 1 species
UGGGAUUUCGUGGGACAUUCUGUGAGAUAGAAAUGACAAUGCCCUGCGAAAUCCUAAA